UACGAAGGGUGCAAACGUUGCUCGGAAUUAUUGGGCGUAAAGCGCGCGUAGGCGGUUCGUUAAGUUCGUUGUGAAAGCCCCGGGCUCAACCUGGGAACUGCAAUGGAAACUGGCGGGCUUGAGUGUGGCAGAGGGGGGUGGAAUUCCGCGUGUAGCAGUGAAAUGCGUAGAGAUGCGGAGGAACACCGAGGGCGAAGGCAGCCCCCUGGGCCAACACGGACGCUCAGGCACGAAAGCGUGGGAGCAAACAGG
rnacentral:rRNA from 1 species